rnacentral:rRNA from 1 species
GAGUAACACGUGAGCAACCUGCCCCUGACUCUGGGAUAAGCGGUGGAAACGCCGUCUAAUACCGGAUACGACCCGCCACCUCAUGGUGGAGGGUGGAAAGUUUUUCGGUCAGGGAUGGGCUCGCGGCCUAUCAGCUUGUUGGUGGGGUAACGGCCUACCAAGGCGAUUACGGGUAGCCGGCCUGAGAGGGCGACCGGCCACACUGGGACUGAGACACGGCCCAGACUCCUGCGGGAGGCAGCAGUGGGGAAUAUUGCGCAAUGGGCGAAAGCCUGACGCAGCGACGCCGCGUGGGGGAUGACGGCCUUCGGGUUGUAAACCUCUUUUACCACCAACGCAGGCUUCCAGUUCUCUGGAGGUUGACGGUAGGUGGGGAAUAAGGACCGGCUAACUACGUGCCAGCAGCCGCGGUAAUACGUAGGGUCCGAGCGUUGUCCGGAAUUAUUGGGCGUAAAGAGCUCGUAGGCGGCGUGUCGCGUCUGCUGUGAAAGACCGGGGCUUAACUCCGGUUCUGC